CCGCUUGGCGUUUCCAUUUACUACCACAUAUGGUGAUUAGCGGGAGCCUAGUGACCGGCAGUGGGAGAUGAUGGAGCGAAAAAAUAGCACGUCCUCGCUCGCCUGCGACUCAACGUCUUAUAGGAACGCGCUCACCGGCCAAGCACACGCACAGUCGUGGAUGGAAGAACCGAUCACUUCUGACACCAUUGUAAUGAAACAGCAGGGAGCAGGUCUCGAACCCUCGACCUUUCGGGCUAUCGACUGUGCUGCAAAAUCAUGCUCAAGCGGCAGAGUCGAUAUCCGCGCUUAUAAACCCAGGGUUGUUACAAUAAGUUUCACAAAGAUCAAGAAUGUAGCUAACGUUAGCUGUUUAACUUGUGUGUGAAAGUAUAGGAUUGUUCACAAAUGGCGCCUGUGUUGACAUUCAGCAGGCAGCUCCAUUGCAACCAAUAACUAAUUAACCACAAUGUGGCAUUAAGUACAGUAAUCAAAUCCAUUCCUUUGAUGACGUUUAGCUAAUCAGAGUCAGGUCAUGAUCAAUCGAGCUGCCACAUGAUAUUGCUGAGGGAGAGUAAAAUCAAAGAUGUUUUUACAACUAACCCAAUAUAGACCAUAACCAGACGUUUCCAAUGAGCAAAUGAAUCAUACUGGGCAGAGCCAAGCACGCGCUAUUGAGAUCUUAUUUGGACGUUCCCGUUAGGGAACCCCUACUGUGUUAAGUGCGCGGGUGCUAUAACUCAAUUCGCCCUUGCACUCCUAAACUUUGGCAAAGGGUAAAGUCCACAAAAUGCAGUGCACUCUGUUUGUUACAGAUUGUAGUUUUGGAAAUAGAAAACUGUAUGGACAUCAAAUGUUUCAUCAGUGAGAAAAUUAGCCAACAUCUAUUUCGCAGGGAGUAGUGUGAACUUCUGGCUAGAAGGUUCGAGACCAGCUCCCUGGUUCAUUACAUUAUCUUUUAUUUGCGAGGGAGAUGAAAUCUAGACGCUUGAUAUCAGACGUCUUUAUUUAAAGAAUACACCCCAAAAUAGUGUUAACCUUUUUUUCGACAAAGUUUUACUCGUGUAACUAAAUUACGCGUAAAAAACAACAGAAUAAAAAAACACACAAAAGCAACCAAUGUACUUUUUGGAACAUCCCAAUUAGGUUCAGCGAACGUAAGCUUGCGCGUGGCGCAUCGCUGUUGAUAGUCGGUUCAACGUUUUUUCGUGCACUUCAAGCGGGGAAAGUUUGCGCGGCAGUGUGUUUAAUUUAUUCUGUUUUAACGGUUUUACAAAUGGAUAUCCAGAAACAGAGAAACGGAUGUCAAACUUCCACAAGUUUGAAGCUGUCAAAUGGUUAUAUUUUACCUGAAGGUAAAAUGACUCCAAACACACUUUUUGUUGGAGGAAUCGACAUGAAGGUGGACGAGAACGAAAUCCGGGACUUCUUUGCGAGAUUUGGUGCCGUGAAGGAAGUGAAAAUCAUCACUUACCGUGGAGGUAUCUGCAAAGGUUAUGGAUUUGUUUACUUCAAUGAAGACGUCGACAUCCAAACCAUCGUUGAACAACAGAUCAGUUUUAAAGGGAGGAAACUCAAGCUGGGUCCAGCAAUCAUGAAGGAAAGGAGCUCACGUUUCAUGCCGUCUCACCUGGUUGGUCAGGCCCCCUGGAUAACCCCCUCCCAGUACAUCUACUGCACCUGCUGCUCUCCUAUGGGCGGGGGCAUGGCUCAGCCUUCACCUGUACUCAAUGGCGGCAAUCCCUAUUUCCAGCCUUACUCGUACAACGGCUUUCCAGGAGUCAUGAUUCCACAGAUGCCCAUGAGCUACUCGCAAACCGCUUACGCGUACCAGGAAAAGGAUGCAUUUUACCCUGCUCUCCUCUCCCAGUACGCCUCACCACACUGGACUGGGGAGCAGAGGACACGGCUCAUCAACCAGCCGGCUCAUUAUGUGAUGUGAUGCCCCGUUUCCAGAACUUUGUGGACUGCGGAGUCCAGACUCUUCUGACUCUGCUGUAGUCCACAGUCCACUGACCCUCCUGCUGUACCAGGGGGCGACGUCUCCAUGCAGACUGGAGCACAAGGUGACAUCCUGGCCUUUAGAGCUAGCAGCAAUAGACUUUAAAAAUAUACACUUUCAGGAUGCUUUCUCUCUACGACAUCUCUUGCUCACUUUGAGACCCGACCGUGGCGGCUCGACACUUGCACCUGCACCCGAUGGGCGUGGUCACUGUGACCGUGUUUGGCUUGGCUAGGACCAUGGUCCUGGCGUUUGGACCGCUUUCAACCCGUCUCAAACACUGUCACGCAGGGAAGAGCAGAAGUGGUUUUGGAGCUUCAGCUUGUUUACAGCACAGAGCAACGUGUGGGUGUCUGCCUUUUUUUGGGGG